UUCUAUUCUAGAUCCAAUCAGUCUUCUGUUGGACGAAGAUCCCGGAAGAUAGUUGUCGAUAGUUCAGGCUAUUUUCACAAUGAAAAGAGAAAUUGUGCUUCUUGUUGGUUUUCUUUCUUUGCUUCUAUUGGCAGUGCCUUUGGUGAGUGCUGGAAAACCUUGGCCCAUUGGACCCGAACCUAAGUCGGGCCGCAAACGAGAGAGCCGACUAUAUAAGAAAGAAGAAGCUUGCAAACGAGCACAAAUUUUGUGUAACGCCGAAGAACAUGAUGACAGAAAAUGGAGAGAGAUAUAUCAUAAAUGAACACAAGAACACUGAAUUGUAGAAGAAAUGCUAUAUUAUAGAAUGACUGAAAAAGCAAGAAAUGGAAGAAAAUACGUAACUAAAAGGAAGUAAUUGUAAACCAAUAAAAACUGAAAAACCGUUUAAAAAAUAUGAAUCUACUUUACUUUGAAAAUGACGAAUAUUAAAAUUUGACGAAUGGUGAAA